GACGAACGCUGGCGGCGUGCUUAACACAUGCAAGUCGAGCGGUAAGGCCCUUUCGGGGGUACACGAGCGGCGAAACGGGUGAGUAACACGUGGGUGACCUGCCCUCAGCUCUGGGGAUAAGCCUGGGAAACCGGGUCUAAUACCGGAUAUGACUCCAUGACGCAUGUUGUGGGGUGGAAAGCCUUGGUGCGGCUGAGGAUGGGCCCGCGGCCUAUCAGCUUGUU
rnacentral:rRNA from 1 species